rnacentral:misc_RNA from 1 species
GAUGAAGAACGCAGCGAAAUGCGAUAAGUAAUGUGAAUUGCAGAAUUCAGUGAAUCAUCGAAUCUUUGAACGCACAUUGCGCCCCCUGGCAUUCCGGGGGGCAUGCCUGUCCGAGCGUCAUUACAACCCUCAAGCUCAGCUUGGUGUUGGGCCCCACCGCCCCGGCGGGCCCUAAAGUCAGUGGCGGUGCCGUCCGGCUCCGAGCGUAGUAAUUCUUCUCGCUCUGGAGGUCCGGUCGCGUGCUCGCCAGCAACCCCCAAUUUUUUUCAGGUUGACCUCGGAUCAGGUAGGGAUACCCGCUGAACUUAAGCAUAUCAAUAAGCGGAGGA